UUAGAUGAUCACACUUGAAUCUUAAGGCUUCAAUAUGGCUUCUUGUUCCCUAACUUCUAUCCUGUUUUGGCAGGUCUGUCUUGCUUUCUGCCACUUAUAACCCAAUUAUUUGUUCCCUUUGAGGCCAAAACAGAGAAGGAGAAACAGAAUCCCUGUUAGCUAACAUGAUGUGAAGGGUCAACAAAGCCUCUCUGAGGAAGUGACAUUUGUUUUGAGCCUGAUGAUGUAUAGGAAUGAGUCAAGGGAAGUUCAGGUAAAAAGUGGACCUAUUAGAGGGACAGCAAAGAGAAGCCUGAUUUCUUUAAGGUACAAAGAAAGGAUUGGUGUGGUUUGAAUGCAGGGAGGGGUUGUAUCAGUAAUAUACCUAAUCAUGUAGGGCUUGUGGUUAUGAUUAAAGACUUUGAGCUUGAUUAUUAAAACCAGUGGAAAUCUGCUGAGGGUCAGGAGCAUGAUCACAUUUGAUGAUUUACAAGAUACUUUAGGCUGCUGCAGGAAAGUUUUGGAGUAGGCAAAGCUUAGACGCAGAGGGGCUAGUUGAGGUGGUAUUAUGGUAGUCUAGCAAGAGACAUUGGGGGCUUUCCAAAAUACUGACAAGUCGUGGGGAGCAGAGGAGGAAACACUAGAUUUGGGAUACAUUCGGGGACAGAAUUGUCUUGGCUAGACGAUUGAAAGGGAGCUCGAGAGAGUGGCAGGGAUGAGUCAAGUUUCAUAACUGAGCCCCUGAAGGAAGGGAGGAGUUCUGUUUGGUAAAGGAACAGACUAAGAGAAGGGAGUGCAAGGAGGUGAGUUUCCUUGUGGACAUCAUCUUCCUUUCCAAGUAAUAGGGAGAAUGUCCUAGCAUUUACAUGUCUGGUGACAGCAGCGCUAUUGUGUCACGUAAUUUUCUGACUACACAAAACUGUUUAAAUCCAGUUCAGUUCUAUUUUAAAUCCUUCUCAUCUUACUGAGGACAAAAAGAUACUAUGUUGACAUUCUGGAUUUUGCUAUCUUUUCAAGAUAGUAAAGACGUAUUGUAAUGAGGUUUAAUAAGCAUCUUCACUCUGUGUGAACUCUGACAGGGAGAAGUUUGACACGUUUCAUUUGUCUGGGCUCCAGCGGUGCCAUCGCUGAGUGCAGUGAGGGAAUCUGCAACACUACAGCUGUGCUAGCGUCUGUACCAUUGUGUCGGAGUCCUUAGGAGGCCUUCCUCUUCUGUUGGAGCUUUUUAGCUUCAGGUAACUUUGGACUGACUUUCCCCAAGAGCAAAUUAUUAGAAAUUGAAUAAAAACGUUUCCACUGGGUUUUGCCUGCAAGAAAAAAAAUGUACCCGAGCCCAUAGAGCUUUUUAAUAAUAGCACUAAACAAUGCCUUUUUAGAUGUAUUUUUGAUGUAUAUAUCUAUUAUUAAAAAAUGAUGUUUAUUUUGAGUCCUAGGACCUAAAAUUAGUGUUUUGUAAUAUCAAGAAGGACCUUUAAAAUGAAGCUGAGCUUUUCAUGCAGGGUGCAAUCUACUGGAAAUGUAGCACUUAUGUGAAAUAUUUGUUUCCCCCACAGUUUUAAUAUAAACAAAAUGAAUACCAAAUAAAUUUCCCACUGAAAGAUUAUUGUGACUUCACUGUAUAUAAACAGAUUUUUAUACUUUAUUGAAAGGGGACACCUGUACAUUCUUCCAUCGUCACUGUAAAGAAAAAUAAAUGAUUAUAUUCACAGACUGAUUGGAACUUUUUCUGUUAAAGAGCACACACAAUAAGUAAGGACGAAAGUAGCCCCUUCUUAAUAUUCCUGAUACACAUUUCACUUUGAUCCUUGGGCCUUAGCUUUGAAACAGAGGUGGUGGAAAGUAAUUCAUGCACUUGCUGUGUGCCUCCAGACAUGUUGAGAAUUGUGCUUUCACCGGAAGUUUACAUUGUCAUCUAGCAUGUGACUAAUACUUUUGACAGUUCUGUUUUUAAAAAAGACUUUUUCUUUCUUUCCACAUGAGUUAGGUACACAGGUACACUUUAGGUAUUACUUGAAGUUCAUGUUGUUUUUGCUAAAACGGUUUUCACUUUAACUAACAUCCAGCAGUUUACUAAGUUCACAGGUGCAGGUCAGACUCUUACCACAGUGAGAGGCAGCUCCUAGGCAGAGUUGCUUAAAGAGCCAGACUGUGGUACUUUACUAAUCAGUAUCCAGCCUCUAAAGUAUUAACAUUUUUCUUUCUUUCUUUCUUUUUUUUUUUUUUUUUUUGGUACCGGGGAUCGAACUAGGGACCUUGCACUUGUGAGGCGGGCACUGGAACCACUGAGCUAAAUCCCCGGCCCUAACAUUUUUAUUUCUGUUGAAACUCAUAUGCCUAACUUCUAUUACCACUUAAAUUUCUUUUUUCUUGGUUAAAUUUCAUGAUGUCUAAUUACAUAAGCUGGCAUUGCUUUAUUCAUUAAUUUUAAAAUCUAAACAUAAUUCAAGGAAGGAGGAGUGGCUAUAAUUAAAGCAAAAUUUGAGAAAUGCAGCAAAAACUGAUGUCGUUCUACAGGAAUAGUUUAUGUACUUCUUUCUUAUUUCAUUUUAAAUUAGACCUGAUAGAGCACUUAUUAGCAUGGCCCCAGGUUCAAUCCUCAACAUGACAAUAAACAAGUAAAUAAAUAAAAAUAAAAUUAGACCACAUCUGAUGUGGUCAACGAUGUGACCAAUUCUGUAUCACUGUCACUGUACAUUUUAUUAUCAGUACCUCUAGCUUCCUUUAAUUCUCAAAGGGAAAGAGGAAGAGGAGGUUAGUUAAAGCAAUAUGACUGGCUAAAUUUGGGGCAUUGUGUUUCUGGACCUUUAUUGUCAAACUAUGUAAAUACUUCUUGUAAUUCCUGGUUUAUAUUCCAGUUUGAUCCCCAGACCAUAGGAUACAAAUUUCCUUGGAACAGCUGUGCUGGUGGAUGAGUCUCUGGGAGGACAGUUGGUAGAUGGUCCUUGGUUUGGGUCCAUCAGUGUCCUAAGUGGGGUGGGUGGAGAGUUAAUAUCAAUUUCUUUUUAAGAGCUAGUAUGACUAAUUAGAAGGAUAGCCAAAGGUUUUUCUCCUCCUCCCCCUUGAAGUCCAUGAGUCUCUAUUUGCAAUCAAGCUGGGGUAGUUUCACCUUGAUGAUCAUAUAUUCUUUUUACAAUGCAAGCCAACCAAGAUACCUGUGUUUUUUCUGAACAGAUUUGUAAAAGUAAAAACACAGUGUACAUACUAUAAAACUUUUUCUUAUAUACUUUGCUCAGGUAGAGAACAAGAUCUGAAAACUUAAAUGAUAUCCUACUGGGGACCAUUCUAUAAUAAGUCCAGGAGGUUCCCAAUAUGUGGACAGGACUUGUCCAAAAUCAAGUUCAUCAUCUCAUCCCCACAAACUUACCACCAUCGUGCAUUUCCCAAUUUGAGUAAAAGCAAAGCAGAAGUAGCUCAGGAGUGAUCCUGCAUGUCCUCCCUUUUUUUUCCUUGUGACAUUUGUCAAUCCUUUUAGAACUACUGUAUUAACUCCACUUUUUACAUGCACGCCACAUCCCUUGUCCGUCCCAUUGUUAUGGAAACCUUCCCUCUCCUCUAGACUUCCAGUGGCUUCCUUUAUUUCGCCUGUUCACUGUCUCUUUCUUUUAUCUCCUCCAUGUAGUCAUCAGAGUGAUUCUCAAAAUAGGGCAAAGUGGUUGAAUACUUUUCCUGCUCAAAAUUCCUCAGUAGUAGGAAUGGAGUAGUUUAGAGUUAUUUUUAAGAGCAAGCACUUUGAGAUUAGGAGAACCUGUGUCUGAAUCCUAGUUUUGCCAUUUGUGUGACUUAUCUGGUUACUUAAUCUUUGAUCCUGUUCCUCCUCAGUGAAAUAAGAAUAAUACCUACCUCAUAAGAGUUGUUGUGGGGAUUCAGUGAGAUACUGUCUAUAACGUGUUUAGCACAGUGCCUGGUGUGUAGUGUGUGUACACAGAACAUUAUUGUUAUCCCCAGGUGUCAGUUUUAUGUCACUUCCAAGAGACACUUUUUGAUAACCCUGACUAUCCCUACCCUAACACUAUAUUUUCAGUA
rnacentral:lncRNA from 1 species